CCCUUAGAUGUUCGGGGCCGCACGCGCGCUACACUGAAGGACUCAGCGUGUCUCUCCCCCUAUCCCGAAAGGGAUGGGCAACCCGUUGAACCUCCUUCGUGCUAGGGAUUGGGGUUUGCAAUUAUCCCCCAUGAACGAGGAAUUCCCAGUAAGCGCGAGUCAUCAGCUCGCGUUGAUUACGUCCCUGCCCUUUGUACACACCGCCCGUCGCUACUACCGAUUGGAUGGUUUAGUGAGACCCUCGGAUCGGUCCCGACUCGGGGUGGGCUUCUGCCCCGGUCGUGGUUUCGCCGAGAAGACGGUCAAACUUGACUAUCUAGAGGAAGUAAAAAUCGUAACA
rnacentral:rRNA from 1 species